rnacentral:misc_RNA from 1 species
GUAACAAGGUCUCCGUUGGUGAACCAGCGGAGGGAUCAUUACAGAGUUACUACUCCAAACCCAUUGUGAACCUUACCUAUGUUCUGUUGCCUCGGCGGCGUGGUCAGCGCCCCCUCUGAAAAGAGGACGAUGCCCUCCCGCCGGCAGCACCAAACUCUUUGAAUUUUACAGCGGAUUACAGUUCUGAUUUGAAAACAAAAAACAAGUUAAAACUUUCAACAACGGAUCUCUUGGUUCUGGCAUCGAUGAAGAACGCAGCGAAAUGCGAUAAGUAAUGUGAAUUGCAGAAUUCAGUGAAUCAUCGAAUCUUUGAACGCACAUUGCGCCCGGCAGUAAUCUGCCGGGCAUGCCUGUCCGAGCGUCAUUUCAACCCUCGAACCUCCGUUUCCUCAGGGAAGCUCAGGGUCGGUGUUGGGGCGCUACGGCGAGUCUUCGCGACCCUCCGUAGGCCCUGAAAUACAGUGGCGGUCCCGCCGCGGUUGCCUUCUGCGUAGUAAGUCUCUUUUGCAAGCUCGCAUUGGGUCCCGGCGGAGGCCUGCCGUCAAACCACCUAUAACUCCAGAUGGUUUGACCUCGGAUCAGGUAGGGUUACCCGCUGAACUUAAGCAUAUC